AAAAGUCUCUGGUUUAAUAGUUAUUUUAGGAAUAAAUCUAAACAUUUCGCCUAAAAUCAAUUGAGAUUUCAAGGCGUACUACUGUAUAAAAUCUUUCCGAAACAAAAGAACAUAGGUCAACGAGAGUGGCAAAAAGAUAAAUUCAUGAAAGUGUGAUUGGAAUUUGUGCACAGCAGGAAACUUACGAUGAAAAUUGGUAAAGCUUUUACAUGGAAACUCACAUUUUCCUCAAAAGCCUACAAAUUUAUCACCUAUUUAGAAAUAUAUAACAAAAUUCUUUUUUGAAAUAACGGACGACGAAAGGGCUUUAAUUAAUUUUGUUGUGUACAAUAUGCCAGUGUAAGGAGCCAUAACAACUCAUUGGAAUUUAUGCAGUUUACACAUUGCUUACCAGCCCCAAUUGCAUAUAUCGAAUACCUCAAAGUAAGCGGAAACAAAAAUCAACGAAACUAAUAUUAAGGUUGACAAAUUACUAUUUAUAUUGAAUUGAU